UACGAAGGGGGCUAGCGUUGCUCGGAAUCACUGGGCGUAAAGGGUGCGUAGGCGGGUCUUUAAGUCAGGGGUGAAAUCCUGGAGCUCAACUCCAGAACUGCCUUUGAUACUGAAGAUCUUGAGUUCGGGAGAGGUGAGUGGAACUGCGAGUGUAGAGGUGAAAUUCGUAGAUAUUCGCAAGAACACCAGUGGCGAAGGCGGCUCACUGGCCCGAUACUGACGCUGAUGCACGAAAGCGUGGGGAACAAACAGG
rnacentral:rRNA from 1 species